rnacentral:rRNA from 1 species
UACGAAGGGGGCUAGCGUUGUUCGGAUUUACUGGGCGUAAAGCGCACGUAGGCGGAUCUUUAAGUCAGAGGUGAAAUCCCAAGGCUCAACCUUGGAACUGCCUUUGAUACUGGAGACCUUGAGUCCGGGAGAGGUGAGUGGAACUGCGAGUGUAGAGGUGAAAUUCGUAGAUAUUCGCAAGAACACCAGUGGCGAAGGCGGCUCACUGGCCCGGUACUGACGCUGAGGUGCGAAAGCGUGGGGAGCAAACAGG